GCGAGUUUCCUGAAUGGAGCUUUUAAGCAUUUAAUAAUUACUCUUGGACAUGCAGCCUUUUGCAGCGAACAGGAGAGAUUUUGCUAUAUUUGUGGAUAAAUGGGAAUUAUUACAGGAAUAAUAACUGCUGUAAUAAAAUGAUGAGGCACUAGCUUGUGUUGCCCAGAGAUGUAGUGGGUGCCCCAUCCGUGGAGGGUCAGGUCUGGCUGGACAGGACUCUGAGCACCCUGGAAGCUGUGGUCUUACUUGUUCAUUGCAGGUGAGUUGGACUGGAUAACUUUUAAGGAACCCUUCCAACUCAAACAAUUAAAAAAUAAUAUAGUUGUGUGUAUCUGCAGUUAAGUUAUGCUCAUCUAAUAAAAGAACGCUGUCCCAAACACUACCAAAGUUCAUACUUCAGUCUUUAUACACUCAAGUGUUGGGUGACCUAAAAAAAGGGGGGAAAAAAUAGAUGAUAAAAUAACAGUAACACUUUAGAAAGUUAUUGAUGUUGUAAGAGAUACGGUAUAUAUGACAAACACAGUCAACCAGUAUGACAUAAAUAUUGAAUAUGCUCUUCAGGAAUAAAUAUCAAUAAAUGAUUGAUAUUCUUUGUUCUUUAUUCUGCAUAUUUAUCCACUUCAAUGUUUGCCCUUUUGCAGAUGUUGCAGCUGUAAAUGAUGGAAGCUGUGGAAUCAGUGGAAUCCGCUGUUCAGGAAUCCGUGGAUGUGAAUCAAGGCUGAAGGACCUGAUCAGACUUUCAAUAGCAAUUGAUGAGCAAUAUCACCAAUGAAGAAGUACUCUGCUAGUUCUUCCUAACAUUCAGCAUGUGUCAGCCUCAACAAUGUCUGCAAAGUCCCGCUUGCUUGCACCUCUGUUACCCUGUAAGGAUGCUUUGCAGACUCAGCGCCAGCUCCUCUGCUGCCACAGGCUCUCAGCAACUAACAGGAGCACAUGAAGCUGAAGGCUGAUUAAUAUUGACCGCAGGUAGCGCUCCCUGCCACGCCACCACUGCGGAGGCCUUGACAGUUCCAUGACCCUCAUCCUCGCGCUGCUCCCCUCCCUCCCGCUGCCUCCCACUCUGCUACUUGAACAAAACAUCCCAUCAGCAUUGUUUACUGCGGGAACUCAGCCAAGGAAGUCAUAACAAGACAAUAGACACAUAAUCUGAUAACCUUGUUAGCUCGGUGGAAUCAGAGCUCCUAACAAGUAGAAGAGUUCAGUAAAGCAGAAUAAAAGUAUUACAAUAUUUGCUGUCA
rnacentral:lncRNA from 1 species